rnacentral:rRNA from 1 species
AUUCCUUGAAAGAGUGCGUAAUAGCUCACUAGUCGAGAGUCUCUGCGCCGACAAUGUAACGGGGCUAAGAUAUGAACCGAAGCUGUGGAUGUCGUAAGACAUGGUAGGAGAGCGUUCUGUAGGCCGUCGAAGGAGGACUGAAAGGAACUCUGGAGGUAUCAGAAGUGAGAAUGCAGGAAUAAGUAGCGAGAAGGGGAGUGAGAAUCUCCCCCGCUGGAAGACCAAGGUUUUCAGGGUAAAGCUUGUCUUCCCUGAGUAAGCCGGGACCUAAGCCCAGGCUAGAAUGCGUAGGCGAAUGGAAAACAGAUGAAUAUUUCUGUGCCAGUUCUACUUUGUGAAGGAGGGACGCAGAAGGGUAUGCGCGCAGACGAACGGAAGAGUCUGUAGAAGCAUGUAGAGUGACUUGGUAGGCAAAUCCGCCAGGUUAGACUUAAGGUGUGACAUAUACUCGCAAGAGGAAUGCGCAAAUCCCACGCUGCCGAGAAAAGCUUCUAGCGGUAAAGUAGAGACUGCCCGUACUGGAAACCGACACAGGUGGUCAGGAUGAGAAAUCUAAAGCG